AUUGAACGCUGGCGGCAUGCCUUACACAUGCAAGUCGAACGGCAGCGCGGGGCAACCUGGCGGCGAGUGGCGAACGGGUGAGUAAUAUAUCGGAACAUACCCUAGAGUGGGGAUAACGUAGCGAAAGUUACGCUAAUACCGCAUACGCACUAAGGUGGAAAGUGGGGGAUUCGCAAGAACCUCAUGCUCAUGGAGUGGCCGAUAUCUGAUUAGCUAGUUGGUGAGGUAAAGGCUCACCAAGGCGACGAUCAGUAGCUGGUUUGAGAGAACGACCAGCCACACUGGAACUGAGACACGGUCCAGACUCCUACGGGAGGCAGCAGUGGGGAAUUUUGGACAAUGGGGGCAACCCUGAUCCAGCAAUGCCGCGUGAGUGAAGAAGGCCUCGGUUGUAAGACGUCUUUUGUUCUAGGGAAGGAAACGGUAGG
rnacentral:rRNA from 1 species